GGGUUGUGUGGAAGAAAAGAAGGUUGGCAUUCCCGUAACAGAAACGGAAAAUGUCUUAGUGACCCAGACACUUACAUGGCUAAAGAGUUACCACCUGCUUUGUGGCUUUGAAUUGAGCCUGGAAUAUGG
ensembl:snRNA